GCCGAAAGGUGAAAGGUUAACUGCCUGGAGAUGAGCUCGCGUCUGAUUAGCUAGUUGGUAGGGUAAAAGCUUACCAAGGCGACGAUCAGUAGCUGGUCUGAGAGGACGAUCAGCCACACUGGGACUGAGACACGGCCCAGACUCCUACGGGAGGCAGCAGUGGGGAAUUUUCCGCAAUGGGCGAAAGCCUGACGGAGCAAUACCGCGUGAGGGAGGAAGGCUCUUGGGUUGUAAACCUCUUUUCUCAAGGAAGAAUAAUGACGGUACUUGAGGAAUAAGCAUCGGCUAACUCCGUGCCAGCAGCCGCGGUAAUACGGAGGAUGCAAGCGUUAUCCGGAAUGAUUGGGCGUAAAGCGUUCGCAGGUGGCAUUGAAAGUCUGCUGUCAAAGAGUCUGGCUCAACCAGAUACAGGCAGUGGAAACUUCAAAGCUAGAGUGCGGUAGGGGCAGAGGGAAUUCCUGGUGUAGCGGUGAAAUGCGUAGAGUUCAGGAAGAACACCGGUGGCGAAAGCGCUCUGCUAGGCCGCAACUGACACUGAGGGACGAAAGC
rnacentral:rRNA from 1 species